GAAGUCGUAAACAAGGUAGCCCGUAGGGGGAACCUGCGGCUGGAUCACCUCCUUUUCUAAGGAUAUCGGCAGAAAGCGCUGACAGGCCCGCAUUUUCGGAUGCCCACCCUGUCGGAAGAGCUUCUUCCAUUCCAAAGAACAUUAGCCGCCGUCCUCAUGUCCCUUCAUCACUAGGUUAGUCCACAAGACGAGAUAGCAUCCGCUGUCUUGGCUGUGGGCAAGCUCGGCCAGCGCGCGAAGCGCGCCUCUUGGGCGCAGUUCUGCUGCGUCUGACGGGCGCAGCGGGUGUGGGCCUGUAGCUCAGUUGGUUAGAGCGCACCCCUGAUAAGGGUGAGGUCGGUGGUUCGAAUCCACCUAGGCCCACCACACACAAGUGCGUUUGGGGCCUUAGCUCAGCUGGGAGAGCGGUUGCUUUGCAAGCAUCAGGUCAUCGGUUCGAUCCCGAUAGGCUCCACCAUUUCGCAGGAGACGAGACGAGGCAGCAAAGCUGCCGCGCACGUAUCCAAGAACGGCCAGCGCUGCAAAGCGCGCCCACAAGGCGCAGCUUCGCUGCGACUGACGGGCUCGCGAAAUACGCACCAUCAGCCAUAACCUAGAGAUGAAGAGAAACGGUUCGCCGUGCGAGAGCACGGUGAUUGACGGGCACGCCCGUCGUAUUUGACAUUGUGAAUGGGUUUUUUAAAAUCGAUGCCGUGAGGUGCUCGAUUUUGGAGACGAGGAUUGCUUCGGCGGUUCGUGAGGCACUUCUGUGCAGCGCGAAUUGAACGAGCAGUUCGAGGCUCCAGAUAUCGACAUCAUCAUACUAAAUAAUCUGGCUGAGAUUAUAAUCAUCCGCACCUGACAAAGGCCAACGCGCACUGCUCUGCCGAGUUGGUGACCUCCUCUGGAGGCACCCAGUGAUGUCGUUGGUGGUGUGGACUCUCAAGCGUGAGGUAAGGGCAAUUCGUGGAUGCCUUGGCACAUACAGGCGAUGAAGGACGUGGCACGCUGCGAUAAGCGUCGGUGAGC
rnacentral:misc_RNA from 1 species